rnacentral:rRNA from 1 species
CGUAUCGCUGGGCCGCGGCGGCGGUCAUACGGGGGAUCCAAGCGUUAUCCGGAAUGACUGGGCGUAAAGAGUUGCGUAGGUGUCAGAGUAAGUUGAUAGUGAAAGCGUCCGGCUCAACCGGAUAUCCAUUAUCAAAACUGCUCAGCUAGAGGACGAGAGAGGUUAUUGGAAUUCCUAGUGUAGGGGUAAAAUCCGUUGAUAUUAGGAGGAACACCGAUGGCGUAGGCAGAUAACUGGCUCGUUCCUGACACUAAGGCACGAAAGCGUGGGUAGCAAACAGGAUUAGAUACCCGUGUAGUC